rnacentral:rRNA from 1 species
AUUGAACGCUGGCGGCAUGCCUUACACAUGCAAGUCGAACGGCAGCAUGGGUGCUUGCACCUGAUGGCGAGUGGCGAACGGGUGAGUAAUGCAUCGGAACGUACCCGGAAGUGGGGGAUAACGUAGCGAAAGUUACGCUAAUACCGCAUAUUCUGUGAGCAGGAAAGCGGGGGAUCGCAAGACCUCGCGCUUCCGGAGCGGCCGAUGUCGGAUUAGCUAGUUGGCGGGGUAAAGGCCCACCAAGGCAACGAUCCGUAGCGGGUCUGAGAGGAUGAUCCGCCACACUGGGACUGAGACACGGCCCAGACUCCUAUGGGAGGCAGCAGUGGGGAAUUUUGGACAAUGGGGGCAACCCUGAUCCAGCCAUGCCGCGUGAGUGAAGAAGGCCUCGGUUGUAAAGCUCUUUCGGCUGGGAAGAAAUCGCAUCUCCUAAUACGGGGUGUGGAUGACGGGUACCAGCAUAAGAAGCACCGGCUAACUACGUGCCAGCAGCC